GUGAAUCAUCGAAUUUUUGAACGCAAAUUGCACUCUCUGGCAUUCCGAAGAGUAUGCCCGUUUGAGGGUCAGUUUAAAUAAAAAUCGAGGUGGGGCUGUUUUGUGACCCAGCGGAAGUGGGUUAUGUUUGACCGUUUAAAAAGUUUAAGUGAACUAAAAUUGAGACCUUGUGCAUCUCAGACGUACAUAAGAAUAUGUUUUUAACGGUCCGGAGCUGCCAACUUUUGAUUAGGUAUGACCAUGCUGUUUGUGGCAGCGUAACUAUAAUAUACGCAGAUUUUGACCUCAAAUAAGGUAGGAG
rnacentral:misc_RNA from 1 species